rnacentral:lncRNA from 1 species
AUCUUCCAGGGUACCCAUCCUGUUUGGAUUGUGCAGAGUUUAAUAUAUGUAUUUCUUGAGAGUGAGAGAAGAAAAGGAAUCAGCAUUUAUAGGAUCCCGUGAACCAGACAAGCUGAGAAUGGUUAGAAGUGAGACAGCUGACUGAAGGACCCCCCAAAUACCUGAUGCUUUAUUUUAAUUUCAUUUCCAUGCUAACUGACACUCCUACCAGCAUCAUGACAGUUGACAAUCACCAUGACAAUAACCAGAAGAAGCUGUAAAAGGACAAAAAGGAAGGUGGCAUGCUGGUUCUGAGAAGUCCACCAGCCAUUUCCGGAAAAGACAUAUUUUUGCAAUCUGCUGGGUCAUUAAUUGUGAAACCGUAAUAAUCAUCAGUGCCAAAUUAUUCCAGAGCAAAUAUGGACAAAAACUCCCAAGAAAGGGGUAUAGGAAAGGAAAUAGAAAAUAAAAUGAAGGCCGGCACGGUGGCUUACGCCUGUAAUUCCAGCACUUUGGGAGGCUGAGGCAGGCAGCU